rnacentral:rRNA from 1 species
UACGAAGGGGGCUAGCGUUGUUCGGAAUCACUGGGCGUAAAGGGCGCGUAGGCGGCCUGUUAAGUCGAACGUGAAAUCCCCGGGCUCAACCCGGGAACUGCGUCCGAUACUGGCAGGCUUGAAUCCGGGAGAGGGAUGUGGAAUUCCAGGUGUAGCGGUGAAAUGCGUAGAUAUCUGGAGGAACACCGGUGGCGAAGGCGGCAUCCUGGACCGGUAUUGACGCUGAGGCGCGAAAGCCAGGGGAGCAAACGGG